AUUUCGUGAUGAGGGCACUUCCGUAAUAAUUCUUUGUACCUUUCCCAUGCCUCAUACAAGGACUUAUCAUCCAUUUGUUGGAAAGCAGUUAUCUCGUUCCUCAACUU
rfam:Gossypium raimondii Chr02_contig_603, whole genome shotgun sequence.